UCCUUUUGCAUGGUGCCAUGGACACACCCAG
rnacentral:piRNA from 1 species